rnacentral:rRNA from 1 species
UACGUAGGGUGCGAGCGUUAAUCGGAAUUACUGGGCGUAAAGCGUGCGCAGGCGGUCUGUUAAGUCCGAUGUGAAAUCCCCGGGCUUAACCUGGGAACUGCAUUGGUGACUGGCAGGCUUUGAGUGUGGCAGAGGGAGGUAGAAUUCCACGUGUAGCAGUGAAAUGCGUAGAGAUGGGGAGGAAUACCGAUGGCGAAGGCAGCCUCCUGGGACAACACUGACGCUGAUGCACGAAAGCGUGGGGAGCAAACAGG